rnacentral:lncRNA from 1 species
AGCCUAUUGACCUCCAUUAAUAUAAAGCAAUGGAGAAAAUAUGGUCAUUUCACAGAGUAAUGAUAAGUUAUGAAAAAGUCAAUAGCAUGCUAGAGAGUUAAGUAAAGGGGAGUUUUUUGGUGUUCUGUUUGGUUGUUUUAAAUGCUGCUUUGCUUUUCGUUUUUUUUUUUGUUGUUGUUGUUUGUUCGUUUUUUUUCUGGUUUGCCCCCUUCCCUCUUGGUGGGUUUAGAGGAGCAGGCUGGGAGAGAGAACUGAAGGAGCGGAGGUGGCCGGGCCCCAUCAAGUGUCAGGAGGGAAAGUCUCCGCUUUCUCGACACUGGAACACCACCUUCCUCGGCUCCUCCCGCGCUCCCUUCGGGAUAACUUACCACCUGAACUCAAGUUCAACUCCCUCCGGCGCCAGCGUGCUGGGGGGCUCCGCGGGGAUCCAGGGACACGGAACCCGGCAGAACUCCCGUCUGGAUGGAGGUCCGCACACUCCCGGAUCUUCACGCGCUGUCUCCACGCUCCUUGGCGGGCAGCGGCGCAGCGACCCUGGCGCCCGGCGGGGAAAAGGCGACAGAUGUCAGCGGCGUCCGGCCAGGAAGCUGAGGCGCUGCCUCGUCGCUCGCUGGCCCGCGCGGGGCUCAGAAUGAGAGGCUCGGCGAAGUGAGCGUUCUGCCCAUCAAUCUUCGUCCGCUUCCCCCCGUGACGCUCUCACGCUUAGCUGUUCAUGUUACCAUUCUUCUCCGGCCAAGGAACGAGCCCUGAGACGCCUCCACAGCACCUGAGGGGCAGUCCCGUCAAUCUCCCGCGCACGUACGGGGCACGGAGGGCGGCGACACCGAAGUCCGUGCCCGGCUCGGGAAGUGGCUGAGGACGCCCGGAGGACGAGCGGAAGGUAAAGACGCGCUGCGCUUGCACCGGGCCCGCCGGCUGCCGCCAGCCUUCCGCCGAGACGUCGCUGGUGCCUGCCACGUGCGGAGCCCGGAGCCGGGGAAGGGAGGGCGCGCCGCCCCGGGGGUGGGCAACUCUGCGUGGCCUCCAGCUGCUAUAUAAACACACUCGGACGCCGACGGGAAGAGCAGCACAAGGACGAGCCAGGAGGCUUCGGCUCCCCACUACGCGGAUCCUCCCUGUCUCUGCCCGGGUUUUCUUUUCGGGGGAGGGGCUGGGAGGUUGCUGGGGGGCCACCUCAGACCCACAGGGACCGCGGCUUUCCAGGCAUCUCACCCCAAAGGUGCCCGGCCAGAGAUUCCGGAAGAUACCGCGGCGGCCGCAGGCGGGUUCACCCAGGAUUCGUCAAUGGUGCCGGCCAGAGCGCCACCAGCCGCGCGUGGCGACCGCGGGAGGCGCAGGCGACCCGGGGUUGGGCCCGUCCCGCCGACAGGGGUUCCCCUGGGCCGCGCGCCCCGCCGCUCGGGCCAGACAACAUAAAUCAAAUGCUGGUUAUGUGGACUACAUUUCAACCAUGAUGGAAAGAAGCUAUUCUCACAUAAGUGUUUUUGGACAAAUUGGGGACUAAGAACAUCUGGAAGCAGAAAAAUUGGAGAUAAGAACAAAAGAAGAGGGAAAAGAAAAAAUGGAAGUUGAAAGAGAUACUUUGAAAAACCUGUAUCCUGCUACAUGGUAAGUUUUGUAGGACUGAGAAGUUUGGCCAGUUACACUCCCUUACAAUGUUCCUUUUGGUUAGAUCAUUUAUGGAUUUUUAAAUUCUUUUUCUGAUGAUUAGAAUACUCUGAUACAGCCUUUAAGUAAUUCUGACAAACAUUUUGUUUAAAAAUAUUAAUUUCUUCAAUAUUUCCAAAAAUUUUGGCAGUUAUAUUGUAUCACUAUUACAUUUCUCAUUUCCAUCACUGCCAUUAUUUAAUUCCUGUUCUCAUUUGAUAUUUUGAAUCAUGUCAUUUUCUUAAUUAAAUUUUGCUAAAAUGAGCAUAUUUUACUAAUAUUUUUUCAAGGUAGCUUUAUUUUUAUAGAUCAAAUCUGAACUUUGUCCACUUUGUAUUUUUUCUUUAUCUAUUGUAACUUUUAUUAACUUCAUUUCUAUUUUUUGAGUUGAUCUUAAUCAUCUUAAUCUAGUUUCCUAUUUUCAACUCAGUUAGCUUAAUAGGUAUCAUUUUUUCAAAUAGAUAUCUACAAUUUCAUUUUAUAAAAAUAUUAUUGUAUUAAUGACUACAUAGUUAACAAUUAACAAUGGAAAUUUCUACCUCCUCUGUAUUUUUCCCACUCUAGUUCUAUUCUUUACAAAAAAUCACUUUUCAACUUCUUAGCACUUGCUUCUCAUAUUUUUCAGUUGAUAUAUCUGUAUUUACUAAAUUGUACUGCUUUUUUAUCAUAAGCAUAACUAGUUUCUUCCAGAAGCUGAAACACAAUCUGAUCAUCUAUAAUAUUCUGUUUCCUGAUGUUGGCUUUCUUGGAGUCCUUUGUCACCCUGCAUGCUCCAGAUGGGCAAAGGACUAACAUUUUAGCCUUUACAGUGACAUGGAUGGAACUGGAGGUCAUUAACUUACUUAUACAUGAAGUCUAAAAACUAGGCGAUUUCACAAAAGUUAAAAUAUAAUAGUGGUUACCAGACUCUCAGGAGGGAAGUAGAUAGGGAGUGAUAGGGAAAUUUGAUGGGUGCUUGGUAAUAAAUUGAUAGUAGUUAGAAGUUCUGAAGUUCUA